rnacentral:rRNA from 1 species
UACGGAGGGUGCAAGCGUUGUCCGGAAUCACUGGGCGUAAAGGGCGCGUAGGCGGCUCGGUAAGUAGGGGGUGAAAUCCUGCGGCUUAACUGCAGGGCUGCCUUCUAAACUGUCGAGCUUGAGCACGGUAGAGGCAGAUGGAAUUCCCGGUGUAGCGGUGGAAUGCGUAGAGAUCGGGAAGAACAUCGGUGGCGAAAGCGCUCUACUGGACCGCAACUGACACUCAGGGACGAAAGCUAGGGGAGCGAAUGGG